GGUUGGAAACCAACUGUCACUUGAUUCUCUCAGAAAGAACAGAUGUUUCCAGAAUACACAGUCUCCCCUCCAUCACCUUCACCAGACAGGGGAA